AGUGAACGCUGGCGGUAGGCCUAACACAUGCAAGUCGAACGGCAGCACAGUAAGAGCUUGCUCUUACGGGUGGCGAGUGGCGGACGGGUGAGGAAUACAUCGGAAUCUACUUUUUCGUGGGGGAUAACGUAGGGAAACUUACGCUAAUACCGCAUACGACCUACGGGUGAAAGCAGGGGAUCUUCGGACCUUGCGCGAUUGAAUGAGCCGAUGUCGGAUUAGCUAGUUGGCGGGGUAAAGGCCCACCAAGGCGACGAUCCGUAGCUGGUCUGAGAGGAUGAUCAGCCAAACUGGAACUGAGACACGGUCCAGACUCCUACGGGAGGCAGCAGUGGGGAAUAUUGGACAAUGGGCGGAAGCCUGAUCCAGCCAUACCGCGUGGGUGAAGAAGGCCUUCGGGUUGUAAAGCCCUUUUGUUGGGAAAGAAAAGCAGCAGGUUAAUACCCCGCUGUUCUGACGGUACCCAAAGAAUAAGCACCGGCUAACUUCGUG
rnacentral:rRNA from 1 species